GCUUGGAAGACAUCACUCUAGCACCAACACUUGCUAAAGCAACAACUAAAAAUUCACCAUGAAACUGUUCAGCUUGUUUGUCGUUGUGUUCGCCAUCAUGGCCCUGAUGAUGGGAGGUACUGCUGCCAAUCCUAAAGGCAUCGGUAAAGCUAUCAGAAAAGGCGGGAAAGUUAUUAAACACGGUCUCGGUGCCAUCGGCGUCAUCGGAACCGGCCAUGAGAUCUACCAGGAAGCUAAAAAUAGAGGCUGAAAUAGAUAAACUAGACUAGGAUUAAGGAUAGACCAUAUAAUUAGUCUUAAAAUAAUUACCUUUUAAAGUUAUUUAUUUGACAAAUAAAUCAUGUUAAAAAACUGUUA